rnacentral:rRNA from 1 species
UUCCGGUUGAUCCUGCCGGAGGUCACUGCUAUCGGGGUUCGAUUAAGCCAUGCGAGUUGAGAGGGUUAAGACCCUCGGCGGACUGCUCAGUAACACGUGGAUAACCUGCCCUAAGGUGGAGGAUAACCCCGGGAAACUGGGGAUAAUACUCCAUAGGUUAAAGGUACUGGAAUGUUCUUUAACCUAAAGUUCCGGCGCCUUAGGAUGGAUCUGCGGCCGAUUAGGUUGUUGUUGGGGUAGUGGCCCAACAAGCCUGUAAUCGGUACGGGUUGUGGGAGCAAGAGCCCGGAGAUGGAAUCUGAGACACGAUUCCAGGCCCUACGGGGCGCAGCAGGCGCGGAAACUUUACAAUGCAGGAAACUGUGAUAAGGGAACCCCGAGUGCCCGUAUACGCGGGCUGUCCGGAUGUUUAAAACGCAUCCGAAGAAAGGGCCGGGCAAGACCGGUGCCAGCCGCCGCGGUAAUACCGGCGGCUCGAGUGGUGGCCACUUUUAUUGGGCUUAAAGCGUUCGUAGCUUGAACAAUAAGUCUCUUGGGAAAUCUGCAGGCUUAACCUGCAGGCGUUUAAGAGAAACUGUAGUUCUAGGAACCGGAAGAGGUGAGAGGUACUCCGGGGGUAGGAGUGAAAUCCUGUAAUCCCCGGGGGACCACCGAUGGCGAAGGCAUCUCACCAGGACGGCUUCGACAGUGAGGAACGAAAGCUGGGGGAGCGAACCGGAUUAGAUACCCGGGUAGUCCCAGCCGUAAACGAUGUGCGUUAGGUGUGCCGGUGACCACGAGUC